rnacentral:rRNA from 1 species
AAAGGAAUUGACGGGGGCUCACACAAGCGGUGGAGCAUGUUGCUUAAUUCGAGGCAACGCGAAGAACCUUACCUGGGCUUGACAUGUAUGGAUUAGCUUCUGGAAACAGGAGUGACACCCUUGGGUGGAACAUACACAGGUGCUGCAUGGCUGUCGUCAGCUCGUGCUGUGAAGUGUCGGGUUAAGUCCCUUAACGAGCGCAACCCCUAUCGUUAGUUACUAACGCGUUAUGGCGAGGACUCUAGCGAGACUGCCGGUGUCAAACCGGAGGAAGGUGGGGAUGACGUCAAGUCCUCAUGGCCCUUACGCCCAGGGAUGCAAACGUGCUACAAUGGUACGGACAAAGCGAUGCAAUGCCGCGAGGUGGAGCAAAUCGCAAAAACCGUGCCCCAGUUCGGAUAGCAGGCUGAAAUUCGCCUGCUUGAAGCCGGAAUCGCUAGUAAUCGCGUAUCAGCUACGACGCGGUGAAUACGUUCCUGAGCCUUGUACACACCGCCCGU